CGAUAGCGUAUAUUUAAGUUGCUGCAGUUAAAAAGCUCGUAGCUGGAUUUCGGGUGGGAAUGGCCGGUCCGCCGUUUCGGUGUGCACUUGCUACGCCCACCUUGCUGCCGGGGACGUGCUCUUGAGUUCACGCUCGGGACACGGAGUCGGCGAGGUUACUUUGAGUAAAUUAGAGUGUUCAAAGCAGGCCUACGCUCUGAAUACAUUAGCAUGGAAUAACACGAUAGGACUCUGGCCUAUCUUGUUGGUCUGUAGGACCGGAGUAAUGAUUAAGAGGGACAGUCGGGGGCAUUCGUAUUUCAUUGUCAGAGGUGAAAUUCUUGGAUUUAUGAAAGACGAACUACUGCGAAAGCAUUUGCCAAGGAUGUUUUCAUUAA
rnacentral:rRNA from 1 species